rnacentral:rRNA from 1 species
GACGGACGCUGGCGGCGUGCUUAACACAUGCAAGUCGAACGGAAAGGCCCUGCUUGCAGGGUAUUCGAGUGGCGAACGGGUGAGUAACACGUGGGUGAUCUGCCCUGCACUUCGGGAUAAGCCUGGGAAACUGGGUCUAAUACCGGAUAGGAGCCAUUUUUAGUGUGAUGGUUGGAAAGUUUUUUCGGUGUAGGAUGAGCUCGCGGCCUAUCAGCUUGUUGGUGGGGUAAUGGCCUACCAAGGCGGCGACGGGUAGCCGGCCUGAGAGGGUGGACGGCCACAUUGGGACUGAGAUACGGCCCAGACUCCUACGGGAGGCAGCAGUGGGGAAUAUUGCACAAUGGGCGCAAGCCUGAUGCAGCGACGCCGCGUGGGGGAUGACGGCCUUCGGGUUGGAAACUCCUUUCGCUAGGGACGAAGCUUUUUGUGACGGUACCUAGAUAAGAAGCACCGGCUAACUACGUG